GACUUAGCUAUCUCGUGGCCACGACUUAGUAACUCGUGGCCACGACUUAGUAACUCGUGGCCACGACUUAGUGACUCGAGGCCACGAGUUAGCUAUCUCCUGGCCACGACUUAGUAACUCGUGGCCACGACAUAGUAUCUCGUGGCCACGACAUAGUAUCUUGUUGCCACGACUUAGUAUCUCGUGGCCACGAGAUAAAUAAAAACACACACAUGUCACAUUUGUGCCACCGUAAAAAUCAUAUAAGAUCUAGAUAUAUUUUUAUCAAAGUAAUUUUAUUUCAAGCACAUCAAUAAAGCAAUUCGACUUUCUUUCAUUGUAGGUUCUUAUUGGACUUCGAUACCUCGCAAAAGGCGAUUUCAUAUCAGAAGUUGGAGACAUCCACGGGGUGUCUAAAGCCAGAGCUGCCGUUUACAUUCACCAAUUCAUACGAAGUGUAAACCUUCGAUUAAAGAAUAUUAGAUUUCCAACUGAGAGGUCAAGAUUACAUCAUUUGAAGAGGAUAUUCUAUGAGAAAUGUAGAAUCCCAAACGUAAUCGGAGCAGUAGAUGGAACCCUCAUCCCUAUUCAGGGUCCAUCACAGGAUGAGGCAGCUUAUGUCUGCAGAAAAGGGUUCCAUGCUCUUAAUGUUCAGGCAGUAGUCGAUGCUGAAAUGAGAUUCACAGAUGUUGUCUCAAGGUGGCCUGGUUCACAGCAUGAUGCGGCCAUUUUCAAUGCUUGUGGGUUAAAGACACAUUUAGAACAAAGUAACAAUGGGUUGUUAUUGGGGGAUAGUGGGUAUCCUCUAAGGAGGUACCUCUUGACCCCAAAGGUGAAUCCGACAACACCACAAGAGGAAGCCUUCAAUAAACACCAUAGCAGAGGCAGAAUGGUGGUAGAAAAAGCCUUUGGUAUACUGAAGUCACGUUUCAGGUAAAAUAUUGCAUAUCAUUCAAAGUAAUUAUUGUAUUAGUUUAGUUUAUACAAAUUUAUUUUAGUUCGAUUGCGUUGGAAGCUAUAAGCUUAUUGAAACACUCUCGAAUCCGUUCCUGGAACCAACCAGUACUAAGCAAUGAAUGUAAAGUUUCUUGCUCAAGGAAACAACGGCGUGGCCCUGACAGGAUUUGAACCCACGCGGUCAGCAAUCCUUAGAUUAAUAGUCCGACGCGUUAACCACUCGGCCACGCCGCCAAAUUGUAUUGAUCCAUUUUAUCAUAAAGUGUUUCACUACAUGACCUUUAUUGAUAAUGAAUUUACAAUAUGUUUAAAUGAUGCUGUCCCAACUUUGAUCUCUACUUCUGGCCCUAUUUUUGUGAAAAUGUCAUGCCACUGAAGUAAUGACAUACCAC